AGUUAAAAAACGAAAUCAUGCGAGAUCUUGGACAAAUAUCAAGUAGAUUAUUAUUAUACAUCAAUUUAUUGUUAUUUGUCCUUGAACUUAAUUGUUUUACAGCUGC
rnacentral:pre_miRNA from 1 species